rnacentral:rRNA from 1 species
GUUGAGCCUCGGACUUUCACGAUGGACGCAAGUCUGACGGAGCAACGCCGCGUGAGUGAAGAAGGGUUUCGGCUCGUAAAACUCUGUUGUUAAGGAAGAAUGACACAUGGAGUAACUGCCAUGUGUGUGACGGUACUUAACCAGAAAGCCACGGCUAACUACGUGCCAGCAGCCGCGGUAAUACGUAGGGCGCAAGCGUUAUCCGGAAUUAUUGGGCGUAAAGAGCUCGUAGGCGGUUUGUCGCGUCUAUCGUGAAAGUCCGAGGCUCAAC